UUCCUCCCAGCCGGACAGCCCCCGCCCCCGCCCCCGCCGCCUCCCAUCGAAGGGCGGAGCCGCUCCUCUCUGCGCUUCCUCCUCGUUUCUUCUCUGUAGAUAGAUGUGGAUUAGUGGCAUGUGAUUUGUUGUGAAACAUCUGAAUUGCCGAUGAUGCUGUGCCCAACAUUUGGAGGUGCAGAUGGCUCUAGGAUCCUGUUUACAGGAUGAACCUACCUGGAGGCGCUGUAUCCACGUGACAUUGAUGGGAAAGUCUGAGUUUCAGAUGAGACUUUUGUUGCUGUUCUCAAUUUGAGUUCUGCUAUUUUUGAACUGAAAACAAGUUGAGUUUAACUAUCCUCUCACAAAUAUCUCUGGUUUGCGGAAGAGGCUGAAAUCAGCUUUGUCUCUUGAUUCUAUUAGACGGGAGUUAAAUAAUGGCACGGGAUCUGCUCAUACAUUCCCUGCCUUAAUCAUCUUGGCAGCAGAACCUGCUGCAAGAUAUCUGAAGAAACAAACUCUGACGUUUGUCUGUUCAGAAUAUCAGUCUUGUUUGCCUUCAACAAAAUUUUAAACACUCAACGAUUUAUUUUAAUUUUACUUCGUAAUAUUUAGAUUUAGCAGCUCUAUCAUCAUUUGUGGUAAAGCUAAGUUGGAUCACAACAAUGAUAAAUGAUCCACCUAUGGUUAGCAUAUCUCCUAACAUGCUGAAUACAAGAACCUCUAUUGGGGUGCCUUCAGGCAUUGAUUUCUCCCAACACCCAGGAAAUCACCAAUAGAUCAUGAACUUGCGAUCUGUUUGUGCUUCAUCAUCUGGUCUUUGGGAUGAUCAGUCUCUUGAGUCUGAUCGGUUCCCACUGGACUCGUUCCCUUGAAGCAAAAGUAUCCUGUUGUAUCCUUGGUUCGCCCCUCUUGUGUGCCCUCUGAGUUUUUUCUCCCAGGGCAACAGCGGCUCUUACAUACAUGCACAUAUGCCCGUCAACAUACUUUCUUGGUAUUUUGAUUUUGACAACCGUGAUGAGCCAAUUUUACAGUUACAGACCUGUAAUGACUCCUGUGGAAAUGAUCGCAUGGUCAAAGAACAUCUAAGGGACUGAGUUGUCUUUGAAUUUUGGAUCUUUGCUGUCAGCAGUUUAGAUGUUGCUGCCUUAUUUUUUAUCUGCUUUUCUUCACCGUAUUUGUGCUUGUAUGUAAACUAAUCCAUAUGGUUCUUGGACAAUGAGAAAAUGUUGAGCAGAAAGCAAA